rnacentral:rRNA from 1 species
GAUGAACGCUAGCUACAGGCUUAACACAUGCAAGUCGAGGGGCAUCAGGAAGAAAGCUUGCUUUCUUUGCUGGCGACCGGCGCACGGGUGAGUAACACGUAUCCAACCUGCCCUUUACUCGGGGAUAGCCUUUCGAAAGAAAGAUUAAUACCCGAUGGCAUAAUGAUUCCGCAUGGUUUCAUUAUUAAAGGAUUCCGGUAAAGGAUGGGGACGCGUUCCAUUAGGUUGUUGGUGAGGUAACGGCUCACCAAGCCUUCGAUGGAUAGGGGUUCUGAGAGGAAGGUCCCCCACAUUGGAACUGAGACACGGUCCAAACUCCUACGGGAGGCAGCAGUGAGGAAUAUUGGUCAAUGGGCGUUAGCCUGAACCAGCCAAGUAGCGUGAAGGAUGAAGGCUCUAUGGGUCGUAAACUUCUUUUAUAUAAGAAUAAAGUGCAGUAUGUAUACUGUUUUGUAUGUAUUAUAUGAAUAAGGAUCGGCUAACUCCGUGCCAGCAGCCGCGGUAAUACGGAGGAUCCGAGCGUUAUCCGGAUUUAUUGGGUUUAAAGGGAGCGUAGGUGGACUGGUAAGUCAGUUGUGAAAGUUUGCGGCUCAACCGUAAAAUUGCAGUUGAUACUGUCAGUCUUGAGUACAGUAGAGGUGGGCGGAAUUCGUGGUGUAGCGGUGAAAUGCUUAGAUAUCACGAAGGACUCCGAUUGCGAAGGCAGCUCACUGGACUGCAACUGACACUGAUGCUCGAAAGUGUGGGUAUCAAACAGG